rnacentral:rRNA from 1 species
AGCGGAGUGUAGUAUCAAUACUAACUUAGCGGCGGACGGGUGAGUAACGCGUGGGCAACUUGCCUCAUACAGGGGGUAUAACGCAGGGGAAACUUGUGCUAAUACCGCAUAAGAUCACAGGAUGGCAUCAUCUAGUGAUCAAAGGAGCAAUCCGGUAUGAGAUGGGCCCGCGUCCGAUUAGCUAGUUGGUGGGGUAAAGGCCUACCAAGGCGACGAUCGGUAGCCGAACUGAGAGGUUGAUCGGCCACAUUGGGACUGAGACACGGCCCACACUCCUACGGGAGGCAGCAGUGGGGAAUAUUGCGCAAUGGGGGAAACCCUGACGCAGCAACGCCGCGUGAAGGAUGAAGGUUUUCGGAUUGUAAACUUCUUUGAUUGGGGACGAAAAAUGACUGUACCCAAAGAACAAGCCACGGCUAACUACGUGCCAGCAGCCGCGGUAAUACGUAGGUGGCAAGCGUUGUCCGGAAUUACUGGGUGUAAAGGGCGUGUAGGCGGGGAUGCAAGUCAGAUGUGAAAUCCCAAGGCUCAACUUUGGAGCUGCAUCUGAAACUGUUGAUCUUGAGUACUGGAGAGGAAAGUGGAAUUCCAAGUGCAGCGGUGAAAUGCGUAGAUAUCGGGAGGAACACCAGUGGCGAAGGCGGCUUUCUGGGACAUUCCUGACGCUGAGGAGCGAAAGCGUGGGGAGCAAACGGGAUUAGAUACCCCGGUAGUCCACGCCGUAAACGAUGGAUACUAGGUAUAGGAGGUAUCGACUCCUUCUGUGCCGUCGCUAACGCAUUAAGUAUCCCGCCUGGGGAGUACGGUCGCAAGGCUGCUGUCG